GGGGCGUCUGGGUGGCUCAGUCGGUUGAGCGUCCGACUUCGGCUCAGGUCAUGCUCUCGCAGUUCAUGAGUUCGAGCCCCGCGUCGGGCUCUGUGCUGACAGCUCGGAGCCUGGAGCCUGCUUCGGAUUCUGUGUCUCCCUCUCUCUGCUCCUCCCCCGCUCCUGCUCACUCUCUCUCUCUCUCUCUCUCAGAAAUAAAGAAACAUUAAAAAUUUUUUU